rfam:Wallemia sebi CBS 633.66 unplaced genomic scaffold WALSEscaffold_3, whole genome shotgun sequence.
GGGGAUGUGGUAUAAUGGCUAUUACGCUGUCUUCGCAAGACAGAAAACGGGGUUCGAUUCCCCGCAUCUCCA